rnacentral:lncRNA from 1 species
CAAUUCCCCACGUACCAAAUUCGGCUGUAAACAUGAUGAGGCAGCAGCCAACUAUUGGAGUGAUACUAGUCCUGCAGCUUCUGACGCUAAUUUCUGCGUUUGGACUACCAGUCAACCACCAACUAGUAGUGUCUCCAAGCGGUGCCACUUUCGCAGGCAGAAAAUGUGUCUUCUCUAAAGGAGGUGGUACUGGUGGACUCUUUGGAGGCGGUGGUGGCCUAGGAGGCGGUGGUGGCCUAGGAGGCUUAGGAGGCGGUGGUGGCCUAGGAGGCUUAGGAGGCGGCGGUGGCCUAGGAGGCUUAGGAGGCGGUGGCGGUGGAAGCUUUGGGAGUAACGGCGGAGAAAGUGGGGGCAGCGGAAAUGGCGGUGGUGAAAGUGCUGGCGGGGGUAAUGGAAGCGGUAACGGUGGUGGUGGUGGGGGCGGUGGAAGCAGCAAGGGUGGGGGCGGGUGGGCUGCAGCGGUGGUGGUAAUAAUGGCGGUGGGUAUGGAGGAGGAGGCAACAAUGGCGAUGGAAGUUCUGGAUCGGGAUAUGGAUAUGGAUACGGUGGUGGUGGUGGUGGUCGAUCGAGAUAGAGGAGGCAUUUGGAAUGGGGAAGGAUAUGAAGUAAGUUUAUGAAAUGAACGAGAGAUCGAGCUACUUACUAGAUGAUAUGAAUCUAUAAAUGUGACUGUGGGAGGGCAAGAUAAAAUGAGUACGUGCGUGAGUAAUAAUACAAUGUCCCGCAAUAAAAGAAAUUUGAGUGUUCAUGAUGAUGAAGUUAGGUUAGUUGGCACCUAAUAAUAAUACAUAUAAAAAAUUGUUUGCCGAAACAAAAUAUGGAAUUAGAAUAUGAGCCUGCCGAAUUUUAAAUAAAAUCGGGUAAUUUGUCCCUUUUGCGUUUUACCAAGCUCACAAACAAGGCAGUCUAUUAAGCAAUGCUUAUUUUACUAGCUCAUACUUUGACCAACUUCACAAUUGCGUACUCAACCCCUCGCUUAAUCUUCCUACCAAGCAGAGCCACAUCAUCAAUUCAGGCCACAUGGCCGUCGAGAAAUAUCAUAUUUUU